ACUCAAAUGAAUUGACGGGGGCCCGCACAAGCAGCGGAGCGUGUGGUUUAAUUCGAUGAUACACGAAGAACCUUACCAAGGUUUGACAUGCACGUGGUAGGGAAGCGAAAGCGGACCGACCCGCAAGGGAGCGUGCACAGGUGCUGCAUGGCUGUCGUCAGCUCGUGCCGUGAGGUGUUAGGUUAAGUCCUAUAACGAGCGCAGCCCCUACUGCCAGUUACACGUAUCUGGCGGGACUGCCGGUCAUAAGCCGGAGGAAGGUGGGGACGACGUCAAGUCAGCAUGGCCUUUAUAUCUUGGGCGACACACACGCUACAAUGGCCGGUACAACGGGUUGCCAACCCGCGAGGGGGAGCUAAUCCCACAAAACCGGCCUCAGUUCGGAUUGUAGGCUGCAACUCGCCUGCAUGAAGUUGGAGUUGCUAGUAAACGCGCGUCAGCCAUAGUGCGUUGAAUACGUUCCCGGGCCUUGUACACACCGCCCGU
rnacentral:rRNA from 1 species